rnacentral:rRNA from 1 species
GAUGAACGCUGGCGGCGUGCCUAAUACAUGCAAGUCGAGCGAAUGGAUUAAGAGCUUGCUCUUAUGAAGUUAGCGGCGGACGGGUGAGUAACACGUGGGUAACCUGCCCAUAAGACUGGGAUAACUCCGGGAAACCGGGGCUAAUACCGGAUAACAUUUUGAACCGCAUGGUUAGAAAUUGAAAGGCGGCUUCGGCUGUCACUUAUGGAUGGACCCGCGUCGCAUUAGCUAGUUGGUGAGGUAACGGCUCUCCAAGGCAACGAUGCGUAGCCGACCUGAGAGGGGGAUCGGCCACACUGGGACUGAGACACGGCCCAGACUCCUACGGGAGGCAGCAGUAGGGAAUCUUCCGCAAUGGACGAAAGUCUGACGGAGCAACGCCGCGUGAGUGAUGAAGGCUUUCGGGUCGUAAAACUCUGUUGUUAGGGAAGAACAAGUGCUAGUUGUAUAAGCUGGCACCUUGACGGUACCUAACCAGAAAGCCACGGCUAACUACGUGCCAGCCGCCGCGGUAA